ensembl:lncRNA
UGCGCGGCCAAAGCGACCUCCCCCGGCCUCAGCUUUCACUUUCACAAAGACGGCGCCUCAUCGCCAACAGCUCCGCGGAAGAGCUGACCCUCCCCCGAGCCUCGCGGUCCGACCAGAGACUUCUACGCCUGCAGCGUCCCCGAGAGAGAGAGACCAGUCCCUGGCCAGCUGGCUCGAUGUCGAAGAGUGAGAAGAACUGUCGACAGUCCACUGAGAGGACGUCUGAGAGAGACAGAUGUACCCCAACGUGACACACAACGCCGGUCACCAACUUAUCUCCGCAGGUUCCCUGCUGCCUCCGUCCUCGCUGCCUCCACCCUCGCUGCCUCCAUCCUCGCUGCCUCCACCCUCGCUGCCUCCGUCCUCGCUGCCUCCACCUGCAGCCUCCUGGUCAGUGUCGGUCCCCCGGCUGGUGGUGCACCUGUUGGUGGGAGCCCCUUACCUGCUGUCCACCAUCUUACUGGGCCUCGUUUGCAGGGACAAGAACAGAGCAGCUCGGACGGCAGCGCAGAGAAGAGGAAGCAACGUCAUCAUGGAAACAGUUGCAUAGACCCUCAAACUGGUCAAACUGGUAACCAGAUUCUGCCUUUUAUGUAUUUUUUGUGUUUGGAGCGGAUCACCGCUUCAGUGCUUUAUUCUUCUCUCAUGUUUGUUACGUUGCCUUUAAUUUACCGACAGGAAACGUCACAGCGCUUAGCGCUGGUUUACGGGUCACCUGUGGUGAGAUUAUUGCUCUGAAACAAGUGCCUCUUCUAAGGAAACAGGAAACAUUGGGCCACUUAAAAAAAAACCACAGGCAGCCGGAUGGAGCUCAGUGAACAGAGACGUGUGCGUUUGAGGUGUAAAUGUAUUAAAAAGUGUUUUUUGGAUAAAUGGAAACUUUUGUGUGUUUUUUUGGGUUAAAAGGAGUUCAGAUUAAACUUUAGAAAGGAGGGUUUGGUUUUUCCCUCCAGGGCUUCCGUAGAAACUUGACGGACUCCGUGGAGCCUGAAUCCUUCAAAACGAACAAAAACACAAGAAUGAUUCUUAGAUUCUGGUGAUGGAUCAUCAUCUGCCGGUGGAGUCAGGAACCCCCGAAACUCCGAGCAUCCCCUCAUUCAGGUGUGGUCAGGGUCUGACGGCCUGAAGGCCUUCAUAAGGGCCAUAAGAGACACACCGUUGGGGUGGGGGGGGAG